AUUGGCCCGGAGUUGCUAGGGCGGAGAGCAAAAGUGUAGCCAUUGGCUGGAGGCCCUAGCGGGACUCGACGUUUCUUCUUCCAAGCAGUGCGUGCGAGCCAGGAAAUGGCGCAGUGAGAAUAUUCUGGGAGAAACAGUAAAGUGAAUUUUGAGAGUCAUCUUUGGAGCCCAGCACACUGAGAUCAAGAUUCUUAAACAAAAAGGGCGCUCACCUCUAAUUCCUUGGCUAACCAGAAAAAGUAUAAAGGAGUAAUGAAAGCCAGCCCUAGGUGUCCUGCAGCCUUGAAAACCGAGUUACUGAUUCAGGCCACCAGAUGGCAGAACACAGGGAAAAAGAAAAGGAGGGGAAGAAAUCCACACCUGCCAAGACCCAGCUCCAGGAUGACCAAGAAGUCUUAGAGAACUUGGUUUCCUAUUACUGUGGGGGGUAGAGGGGAGGUGGGCGCGCGCGAGCGCAGCAGGGAAGAUUAGUCAGAGGCAUUGUUUUAAAGCGUAGUAAUGUACUUAAUUAUAUGAUAGUAAUGUGCUUUAUUAUGUGAUGUAUUUUAUUAUCAGAUAAAAUCUUUUAUGCUUUUUUCCCCCUAUAAAGGUUAUUAUUAUUCUUAAAGCCACCAAGACUAAAGUCUUAAUUGGACCAAACCUAUAAGUUAAUUUGAAAAAAAAUCAAGCUCCUUCUAUUUCAUCUUCUCAUGAGAAGACACGAUGCUUUCCCCAUUUAUUUAGGUCUCCAUUUGUAUCCCUUAAUUAGGAUUGCAGUUUUCCUUAUAAAGAUCAUAAAUAUCACUCAUUAAGAAUUUUACUUGAGGAUGGGUUUAUUUUAUGUAUAUUCCAACCGAAUUUUGAUGAUUUUACAGAUAUAUAUUGAUAUUUGUAGGUUAAAUGUUUAAUUUCUGUU